CAUCUUUGUGAUGUGAUAAAAUUGUCAAUUAUAUUUUCUUUUAUGCAUAUUUUAUAGUCAAUUUACAGCGCAAAAGGUGCCUCCAAAACUUCUAUUAGCUAUGUGGCAAGUUCUCAUGUGCCUCUUUCAGAGAAAAAAUUUUAGAAUAUACCGGGUAUAUUAAUGAUAUGACGUCACAAACCAAUCAAAUAAAUUCUUUUAAAGAUAUAUGUCUCAUCAUAAUUGUAAAAAAAUAUUUUUAUUAUAUUUUUGUUUGAAAAAAAAAUAUAAUUGACUUGUUAUUGAUGACGUGGUACAAGCGUGACAGUAUAAAACUUCUCCUUUAAGA
rnacentral:lncRNA from 1 species